rnacentral:rRNA from 1 species
GAUGAACGCUGGCGGCGUGCCUAAUACAUGCAAGUCGAGCGAACGGACGAGAAGCUUACUUCUCUGAUGUUAGCGGCGGACGGGUGAGUAACACGUGGAUAACCUACCUAUAAGACUGGGAUAACUUCGGGAAACCGGAGCUAAUACCGGAUGAUAUUUUGAACCGCAUGGUUCAAAAGUGAAAGACGGUCUUGCUGUCACUUAUAGAUGGAUCCGCGCUGCAUUAGCUAGUUGGUAAGGUAACGGCUUACCAAGGCAACGAUGCGUAGCCGACCUGAGAGGGUGAUCGGCCACACUGGAACUGAGACACGGUCCAGACUCCUACGGGAGGCAGCAGUAGGGAAUCUUCCGCAAUGGGCGAAAGCCUGACGGAGCAACGCCGCGUGAGUGACGAAGGUCUUCGGAUCGUAAAACUCUGUUAUUAGGGAAGAACAUAUGUGUAAGUAACUGUGCACAUCUUGACGGUACCUAAUCAGAAAGCCACGGCUAACUACGUG